rnacentral:rRNA from 1 species
GACAGAGGUGCCGAGCGUUAGGCGGAAUCACUGGGCUUAAAGCGUGUGUAGGCGGACUUGUAAGUACCUUGUGAAAUCCCACGGCUCAACCGUGGAAGUGCAUUCGAAACUGCAGGGCUAGAGUCCUGGAGAGGAAGGUGGAAUGCUUGGUGUAGAGGUGAAAUUCGUAGAUAUCAAGCGGAACACCGGUGGCGAAGGCGGCCUUCUGGACAGUGACUGACGCUGAGACGCGAAAGCGUGGGGAGCAAACAGG